GGGGUUGUGGCUUAGCGGUAGAGCAAUCAAUCGCCUUGCACGUGUGAGACCUGGGUUCAAUCCUCAGCACCACA
rnacentral:tRNA from 1 species